rnacentral:pre_miRNA from 1 species
CUCUAUUCUGGUUUGGGAACGAGGUUGUCCUGGGGCUCAGUAUGUGGGUCCAUAUCAUCAUACUGGCCAGCACAAUCCCGUUCUCAGGCUAUGA